rnacentral:rRNA from 1 species
GACUACAGGGGUAUCUAAUCCUGUUUGCUCCCCACGCUUUCGUGCUUCAGCGUCAGUUUUAGGCCAGGUGGCCGCCUUCGCCACUGAUGUUCCUCCCGAUCUCUACGCAUUUCACCGCUACACCGGGAAUUCCACCACCCUCUCCCAAACUCUAGCUCCCCAGUAUCGAAUGCCAUUCCCAGGUUGAGCCCGGGGAUUUCACAUCCGACUUAAAAAGCCGCCUACGCACCCUUUACGCCCAGUAAUUCCGAUUAACGCUUGCACCCUUCGUAUUACCGCGGCUGCUGGCACGAAGUUAGCCGGUGCUUAUUCUUUCGGUACCGUCAUUCAUACCGGGUAUUGACCGGCACGUUUUCUUCCCGAACAAAAGUGCUUUACAACCCGCAGGCCUUCUUCACACACGCGGCAUUGCUGGAUCAGGCUUUCGCCCAUUGUCCAAUAUUCCCCACUGCUGCCCCCCGUAGG